GCUGCUGGGGGCGGGAUCGCGGCCAGUUAUUCUGGUGGCUGAGGCAGGAGAAUCAUUGAACCCAGGAGGUGGGGGUUGCAGUGAGCCGAGAUUGCGCCACUGCUCUCUAGCCUGGGCGACAAGAGCAAAACUCCAUCUCAAAAUAAAAAUAAAAAUUAAAAAUAAUAAAAUAUCUUUGUAGAGAUGAGGUCUUUCCAUGUUGCCCAGGUUGGUCUUAAAGUCUUAUGCUUAAGCGAUUCGCCUGCCUUGGCCUUUAAAACGUUGAGAUUACAGGUUUAAGGCACUGUACCUGGCUCCCACAUUUUUAAUGUAUAAUAUGAAUAUAUUCAUUUGAUGAAGCUGUAAAAUAGAAUUACAUAUAUGUGCACACAUAUUUAUGUAUAUUAACUAUGUAUAUGUGUGUAGGAAGGGGCGGAAGUGCCUCAGGCAGACGAAAGUCAUAAUGGAACCCUGGGGCCUUGUAAGGAGAACAUUCCCAGAGUCCUUAGGGCUGAGACACAUCUGCCAGGUGGAGAUGACUGCCUCCUGCAUAGCUGACACAGGGUAACAUUUACAGCGUUGAGGAGAACACCUCAGAACCUGUGAGAAAUGGCCAAAGCGGCAGUCAGAGGAAAAUUUAGAGCCUUCGAUACAUUUACUAGUAAACAGAGAGGAUGAAAAACAGGUGAGUGAAGCAUUCAACCCAACAAACUACAAAAACAGCAGUUGAAUAAAAGAAAAACUAAAAGAAUGCCAGGUGCAGUGGCUCGAACCUAUAAUAUCAGCACUUUGGGUCGCUGAGGCAGGAGGAUCAUUUGGGCCCAGGAGUUUGAGACCAGCCUGGGCAACACAGUGAGACUCCAUCUCUAAAAAAAAAGAAAAAAAGAAAAAAGAAAAAAAUAAUUUUAGUUAGCUAGGUAUAGUGGCAUGUACUUGUGGUUCCAGUUACUUAGGAGGUUGAGGCAGGAGGAUUGCUUGAGACUGGGAGGUCGAGGCUUCAGUGAACCGUCUUUGCACCACUGUCCACUCUAGCCUGGGCAACAGAGUAAAACCCUGUCUGGAAAAAAAAAAUGCAGAAAAAAAAUAUGAAGGAAACAAAAACCAAGGUCUGGUUCUUUAAAAAGAUUAGUAUAGGCCGGGCACGGUGGCUCACACCUG
rnacentral:lncRNA from 1 species